rnacentral:rRNA from 1 species
GGUGUGCUUUAUGCAUGCAAGUCGAACGAUGAAGCAGAGCUUGCUCUGUGAAUUAGUGGCAAACGGGUGAGUACAAGAUAGGCAACCUACCUCGAAGACGGGAAUAUACGGCAGAAAUGCCGGGCAAUAACCGAUAAUGUCUCUUCCUUCAAGGGUUGAGAAGAAAGGUGCAAACCGCUUUGAGACGGGCUUAUCUCCUAUCACGGCAGUUGGUAAGGUAACGGCUUACCAAACCUACGACGGGUAGCUGGUCUGAGAGGACGGUCAGCCACAUUGGGACUGAGACACGGCCCAGACUCCUACGGGAGGCAGCAGCCGGGAAUAUUCGGCAAUGGGCGAAAGCCUGACCGAGCGACACCGCGUGAGCGACGAAGGCCUUCGGGUCGUAAAGCUCUUUUAUUUGGGAAGAAUGCAUAGUAAUAUGUUUGACGGUACCAUUUGAAUAAGCCCCAGCUAACUACGUGCCAGCAGCUGCGGUAAUACGUAGGGGGCAAGCGUUAUCCGGAAUCACUGGGCGUAAAGGGUCCGCAGGUGUCCCGUUAAGUUAGAUGUUAAAUCGCAAGGCUCAACCUUGCGGCUGCAUCUAAUACUGACAGGAUAGAGGAUAGGUGACGGAAGUGGAAUUCCUGGUGGAGAGGUAAAAUCCGUAGAUAUCAGGAGGAACACCCGUGGCGUAGGCGGCUUCCGAACCUAUUCCUGACACUCAGGGACGAAAGCUAGGGGAGCAAACAGGAUUAGAUACCCUGGUAGUCCUAGCUGUAAACGAUGAAUACUAGAUAGUGGGUGCUACACCGUACUCACCGUCGUAGCUAACGCGUUAAGUAUUUCGCCUGGGAACUACGAU